rnacentral:misc_RNA from 1 species
GAUGAAGAACGUAGCGAAAUGCGAUACUUGGUGUGAAUUGCAGAAUCCCGUGAACCAUCGAGUUUUUGAACGCAAGUUGCGCCCGAAGCCGUUAGGCCGAGGGCACGCCUGCCUGGGUGUCACACAUCGUUGCCCCAAUGCCAAUCGCCUCACUUUGUAGGUAUUUGCUUCGGGUGAAUGUUGGCCUCCCGUGAGCUUUGUCUCACGGUUGGUUGAAAAUCGAGUGCAUGGUGUCGGGUGUACCAUGAUGGAUGGUGGUUGAGUGAUGAUGCUCGGGACCAAUCAUGGGUAACUCCACCAGAAUUGGGCUCGGUGACCCACAUGCGUCCCUUGGAUGCUCCCUAAGGAGACCUCAGGUCAGGCGGGGCUACCCGCUGAGUUUAAGCAUAUCAAUAAGCGGAGGA